UACGAAGGGGGCUAGCGUUGUUCGGAUUUACUGGGCGUAAAGCGCACGUAGGCGGAUCGAUCAGUCAGGGGUGAAAUCCCAGAGCUCAACUCCAGAACUGCCUUUGAUACUGAUGAGCUUGAGUCCGGAAGAGGUGAGUGGAACUGCGAGUGUAGAGGUGAAAUUCGUAGAUAUUCGCAAGAACACCAGUGGCGAAGGCGGCUCACUGGUCCGGUACUGACGCUGAGGUGCGAAAGCGUGGGGAGCAAACAGG
rnacentral:rRNA from 1 species